rnacentral:tRNA from 1 species
GCUUUCGUAGUGUAGUGGUCAGCACGCUCGACGCGUAACCGAGAGGUCCCUGGUUCGAUUCCCUGCGAAGGCG